AUCACAAUUGUCGUCCAUAUUGCUUAAAAUUUAUCAUGGCUAAUAAAAUACGAAAAGUCGUUAUAAUAUGAUGAUAUGAACCACUACCGUUUGUUCCACAAAAUAGUUGUUCCCCCGUUUAUUUCGUGCAUGAUUAUUACGGGAUUGUUGGUUCCAGAUUUCCAGUCACUUUUUCUUGAAUGUUAAAAUAAUUGUGCAUAUUUUGUUACUACCAGGUUUAGACACUUAUUAAAUGUUCUAAGAAAAUAAAAAAAAAUAGCCAUUACUUUUAUAUAUUUUUGUACAAAGGCUGAUAAAACUCUUUAAUAAUAUUAUUAUUAAAUAUUAAUAGAAUAAUAUGAUAGUCGAGACUAAACACACGACACACGAGUCACGGACUAAAAAUAUCGAGAUAAUCUGUCAUCAGUGUUGGGUUUUACUGUCUUAGAUAGAUGCUGAGUGAAAUGAUGAAUAUGUAUUGAUUUGAAAAUGACGAGAAUAAAACACGCGUUACCUAUGUACGGUGACGGCCUACGUUUGACAACGUGGCAGCCGUUUCGGUCCACGAAUACCAUCUGGGACGGCCGCCUAAAAAGUUAUACAAAAAUACACAUAAUACGAUAUUCGGUAUAUAGCGGAUACGGAAAUAUCUCCAAAAAAAGAUUUUCAAGAUUAUUAGCAGAAAAGGUGCAGGUAACGGACGUUUUAAUUUUAUUGUCGAUUGCAUAUCAUUACAAAUGGUUAAUAUUUUUCAUAAUAUGAAGUAAUAUGUUACAAUAUUCUGUAUAAAGAUGUAAACGCCAAAAUAUAACUUGGCUAAUCAAUUGGUUCAUAAAUAAUGUCUUAAUUCUUAGGAGGACGUUACUUAAAAUUCUCACGCGUUU